ensembl:processed_transcript Gm7457 predicted gene 7457
AUUGGAUCAGGGCUCGGCUCCAUCAGGGCUUGUUUUAACAGAGUCACACAGUGCUAUUUGGUCUUUGGACUCACAGAUGCCUGUGGAUCCUCCCUCAAGGAGCCCCGUACCUCUGUUCUUACCCCUCCCACAAAGUCAAUCGGGAAGGUUCUUCAGGAAUGCAGAACCCGUUACUGAGCAGAUUUUAAAAUGUUUUCCCUAGCUAGCAAAAGAAACUUGACUUGAUGAACCAGACAAUAUAUAUAUAUAUUUUUUUUUCCAUUUGCACAGGCUAGCCUCAAGCUCACAGUCCUCCCGUCUCAGCAUGCUUGGUGCUGAAGGAGAGAUCUUCAAGGCCGAGUUCAGGAUCGAAUCAUCUUUACAGUCCCCAGAGAAGUCGUGGCGCAAUGCACUGUCUACAGUGAAAAACAAUCAAAUUGUACAACCCGAGAAGAAGAGCUGAUGGUGGCCGGGUUCCUAGAGAGAUGCGUUCAGAUGCAGUUUGUCAUGGACUCAGAAGUGCCACUAAAGCAGAAGAAACUACAAAUGCUAGCAGCAGCGAGAACCCCAACAAGGAGGAGGCGCGGGAUGCCGUCCUUAUUACAGUGAGCAAGUGUCCAUGGAGACCAGAGGAGGACACCAGCUGUCCUGGACCUGGAGUAACAGUUAGCUGUGUGUGGAUCUGCAAAGUAUCAUAGCAUGCAGGAGGAAAAAACCAACCAAACAAGCAAGCAAACAAUAACAACAACGAAAACCAAUCAAUCGGUUAAGCCUUGGAAGAGAGUGGGGUCAGAGAAAGCUGUGGGGUGGAAAACACUUCACGAGCUCUUGCUGGGGAAACAGAGGAACAUAAAGCUACAAGAUCAUGGGGAGAGCAGCAACAGCCAUGAGCAGAAUGGAGCCAGACUUAUGUCCCUGCAGAGACAAAGCAGGCCUCUGUUGUAAAUGUGUGACAGUCGCUGUGACUACCCAGAUUCAAAGCACUGGGGCAAUCAUGGCUCUUCAUCUGUUGAGAGUAAAGAAGGAUGCCUCUCAAGCCCAGAAGGAUGGCCUCCCAGACUGUCUGCAUGCCCUUGACCCGGAAGCCACGUGAGCCACUUCCCCAGGACACCAACCACGGGAAAGGUGAUGACUGUGUCUCCAGAAGUUACUCACCUAGAGCAGUGGUUCUCAACUUUCCUAAUGAUGCCACCCUUUAAUACAGUUCCUCACACGAUGGCGACCCCAACUAUAAAAUUAUUUUGUUGGGACUUCAUAACUGCAAUUUUAUUACUGUUAUGAAUUGUAAUGUAGAUAUCUGAUAUGCAACCCCCAAAAGGGGUUGAGACCACAGGCUGAGAACCAUUGCCCUAGGAAGCUCAGAAACAUUAGUCAACCAUUUUCUAGACUGGUGCCAACAUCUCUCUGAUGAAUACUCAAGUUGGACCUGGGCUCUGCCCAGCUACUCAAUCAUUUCCACUCUUGCCCACCCACAUCCUUCGCUUUUCCUAAUUUCCAAAAUGCCUUCCAGGCAAUGUAGAAGCAGCAGACAAACAACCUAACUGAACUACCCUGUGCUUUGUCUAGAAUAACCUACAGACUUCAUUGAUACCCCACGGCCUGGAAUUCUGGUCAGUCCACUGCUGGACAUUUAUAUCCAUCUGGGUCUGUGAGAUACACUCACUUAGAAGAUGCAAUGGUUAGUUACUGUUGCCAAUUCGAAUGGGUUUACUAUAUUCCCCAUGGAAACAUACACUCCUGUGUGCACCCACGAAGGUAUUUCUAGAAAGGGUCCUGUAAGGAGGGAAGACUCGCUGUAAAGGUGAGCCUCACUCGUCCAAUGACUAGAGAAAGGAGGGAAAGCCAGCUGAGUCCCAGCAUGCACCUCUGUUUCCUAACUGCACACGUGGUGCAAUCAGCCACCUGCCGCCAUGCCUAUCCCGCCGCCAUGCCUGUCCCUCCGGGAUGAACAAAUGCUUCCCUAAGCCUUCCCUAAGCUGCCAGGUGUUUCUCACAGCGAUGAGAAAAGAUACAUACAAUGUAGCAUCCGUGUGAGCGAUCUCUGCCUGUCCUUCAGUGCCUCUUCUGCAUCCCUAACUACACCCUCCUCCCCUUUGUCCUUUACAACCAGCUUUGUAGCUCUUCCCAAAUGCUCAUACUCAAAGGAGGAUUUCCCCUCCUCUAGGGAAUCGCCCCCUCUGGCUUCUAGACAUGGGAACUAGCCUCCCUUCCCCAGCUUUAAUUAACCAGUUUCUGGCAGUUCAAAAAUGUGUUUAUUCCAAGUAUGCAACGUAACCUUGGCGCAGGCAAACACACCAUUGAAAUGAUUAUUACGAUAGGCUAGAAUUUGAUUUCAAAAAUUCUUCUUGAUACACCCACCCUGUGAGCUACACGCUGUCUCUCAUCUGCCAUCAGUAUCCUGGGACAGUUGUUUUCCUUCCUUAUUGCCUCCAGCAGAAACACAAAGUAGGUAAAUAAAAUGUAAUUUUAAAACUGUCCUC